UACCCGUGCCCUGCCCCCAGGCCCCGCAGCCCCUCCCUGCGGCAGGAGCCCCCAGGGUGCCCCAGAGCCCCCCCGGGCCCUGUUCCAGCUCGGGCUGCCCGGGGUGAGCCCGGCAGGGCUCGGCCGCCUGGACCUCGGUUCCCUCAGAGCCCCUGCUCGCCUGGACCUGCCGCGGAGCCGCCUCAGGUUUUAUCUGUGCUCUGAAACACUCCUGAAACACCCUGCUGUGUCUUGGAUAGCCUAAUGUUAGAUAUCUCAGAUACUGCAGAUACUGGUUUCUUAAGAAGCUGUUAAAACUGCUGGGAUGACGAAUUAAAAUGUUCUGUAUCUGUUAUAAGGUAACUAGGCAGAAUGAGAUUAAAAUUUGAAGUGAGACA